rnacentral:lncRNA from 13 species
CCCAGUUCCCAUGUACAAAGUUCUGUUGUGGUUUAGUUGAACUAGUCCCCAACAACAUGGUUACAAUUUGAAUUAUGAUAGUGUAUUGACGGUGUGUCAUUGCACAAAGUACAAACUUUGAUGCCAAUGCUUCAUUCCACAGAUCUCUCCAUGAAUAACAGAUGUGCAUCCUGGUUUCUUCUGCCAUAGUCUGUCUGGUGACUGGUCACUGAGCAUCUGCUAUCCAGUUUACACACAGACAGCAAGCAGGGAACUGGAAGAAUCAGAACUGGAAGAAGAAGAAGUGAUUGGCAUGCUGACACACUGCUGGAAGAAUUGCAGUGGGGAACAAUUACAUUGUUCAAAGAACACUUCACAAUUGGAGGGAAGAGAAUUAUGUCAGUGCUGAAGGAUUUCACAGCCGUACUCCAAAACAAACCUGGAAAUGCACAUUAUAGCUCCUGUUGCAAAGUGUACCAUGUGCAAUUUAUUACCUCCACGUGCAUGCCCUGAACACUUUUCCCACCUUCCGAAAAGGUCAGAACCUAUCCUGUGGGCUCUUCAUCCCGCCAGGUGAGCAUCCGUAGUCACUUCAAUAUCCUUGCUAGUGACUUUUCUAGAAUCCUGGUUUCCUGUGGCCAUGCCUCUUCCACUACGCUCUGCUACCAUGAGCAAAGUCAGAAUGUGGGCCUUGACCGAUACCUUCCAGAAGUCCUAGAUCUCAAACCUUAGGCUUCUCUUUUGAGCCUAACUCCCGCUCCUUUCAUUAGUCUCAAUUCCAGACUGAACUACUGCUGAGUUCUUAUUUACUCUCACUGCAGUGCCGGGCCUUGGCUUCCUCCAAAGUCUCCUUCCAGCUUCGUGAUGUCCUUACUCCGCUUGCACCCCUGACACGACCUCCGUCAGCCAUUUCGCUUUCAUAGCACAGUGAUUCUCACCCUUUAAAGGGUCUGGCUUCUGUCCUAGUCUGUUAGGGCUGCUCUCACACGUUUCAGGCUGGAUGGCUUAUAAAGAGAAAUUUAUUUAAAUAUAUUAUUGCCAAAUUUAUUUUUGAAAACAAAUUUGUUGGCUGGGUGCGGGGGCUCACCUGUAAUCCCAGCACUUUAG